CCUGGUUGAUCCUGCCAGUAGCAUAUGCUUGUCUCAAAGAUUAAGCCAUGCAAGUCUAAGUACACACGGCCGGUACAGUGAAACUGCGAAUGGCUCAUUAAAUCAGUUAUGGUUCCUUUGAUCGCUCCAACGUUACUUGGAUAACUGUGGAAAUUCUAGAGCUAAUACAUGCAGAUGAGCGCUGACCUCCGGGGAUGCGUACAUUUAUCAGACCGAAAACCCAUGCGGGCCAAUCUCGGUUGCCCCGGCCACUUUGGUGACUCUAGAUAACCUCGAGCCGAUCGCGCGCCCUUUGUGGCGGUGACGUCUCAUUCGAAUGUCUGACCUAUCAACUUUCGAUGGUACUUUCUGUGCCUACCAUGGUGACCACGGGUAACGGGGAAUCAGGGUUCGAUUCCGGAGAGGGAGCCUGAGAAACGGCUACCACAUCCAAGGAAGGCAGCAGGCGCGCAAAUUACCCACUCCCGACUCGGGGAGGUAGUGACGAAAAAUAACAAUACAGGACUCUUUCGAGGCCCUGUAAUUGGAAUGAGUACACUUUAAAUCCUUUAACGAGGAUCCAUUGGAGGGAAAGUCUGGUGCCAGCAGCCGCGGUAAUUCUAGCUCCAAUAGCGUAUCUUAAAGUUGCUGCAGUUAAAAAGCUUGUAGUUGGAUCUCGGGAUCGAGCUGGCGGUCCGCCGCGAGGUGAGCUACCGCCUGUCCCAGCCCCUGCCUCUCGGCGCCCCCUCGAUGCUCUUAACUGAGUGUCCCGCUGGGUCCGAAGCGUUUACUUUGAAAUAAUUAGAGUGUUCAAAGCAGGCCCGGUCGCCUGAAUACCGCAGCUAGGAAUAAUGGAAUAGGACUCCGGUUCUAUUUUGUGGGUUUUUCUUCUGAACUGGGGCCAUGAUUAAGAGGGAAGGCCGGGGGCAUUCGUAUUGUGCCGCUAGAGGUGAAAUUCUUGGACCGGCGCAAGACGGACGAAAGCGAAAGCAUUUGCCAAGAAUGUUUUCAUUAAUCAAGAACGAAAGUCGGAGGUUCGAAGACGAUCAGAUACCGUCAUAGUUCCAACCAUAAACGAUGCCAUAAACUAACGAUCCGGCUGCGUUAUUCCCAUGACCCGCCGGGCAGCGUCCGGGAAACCAAAGUCUUUGGGUUCCGGUGGGAGUAUGGUUGCAAAGCUGAAACUUAACCUCUCUAGGGUCGGCGGGACGAAAUCGUCCCACCUACUCAACAGCCAGUUGAAUCCCGUGGUGCAUUAUUCAAAUACCUUAGAAAUGCUAAUACUUCAAUUUCUCAAACAUAUGACUAUUUUACAUUUUACAUUUUAAAGACAAGACUCUCAUUAAUCUAACCACACUGUCCGAUUUCAAAAAGGCUUUACAACGAAAGCAAAACAUUAGAUUAUGUCAGCAGAAUACCCAGACAGAAAUAAUCAGACACCCAUUUUUCAAGCUAGCAUAUAAUGUCACAUAAACCCAAACCAAGCUAAAUGCAGCACUAACCUUUGAUGAUCUUUAUCAGAUGACAACCCUAGGACAUUAUGUUAUACAAUACAUGCAUGAUUUGUUCAAUCAAGUUCAUAUUUAUAUCAAAAAACAGCUUUUUACAUUGCAUGGGACGUUCAGAACUAGCAAACUUUUUAGAAACUUUAGGGUGUUUUCUAUCCAAAGCCAAUAAUUAUAUGCAUAUUCUAGUUACUGGGCAGGAGUAGUAACCAGAUUAAAUCGGGUACGUUUUUUAUCCGGCCGUGCAAAUACUGCCCCCUAUCCCCAACAGGUUAACCUGUUGGGUCUAGGGGGCAGCAUUUGCACGUCUGGAUA
rnacentral:rRNA from 1 species